rnacentral:rRNA from 1 species
UGGGGAAUAUUGGGCAAUGGGCGCAAGCCUGACCCAGCGACGCCGCGUGGGUGAUGAAGGCCUUCGGGUCGUAAAGCCCUGUCGGGUGGAAAGAACGGUAUCUGAGCGAAUAGCCGAGAUACGUGACGGUACCACCGAAGGAAGCACCGGCCAAUUCCGUGCCAGCAGCCGCGGUAAGACGGAAGGUGCAAGCGUUGCUCGGAAUCAUUGGGCGUAAAGGGUGCGUAGGCGGCUUGGUAAGUCGGGUGUGAAAGCCCUGGGCUCAGCCCAGGAAGGGCACUCGAAACUGCCGAGCUGGAGUGCCGGAGGGGAGAGUGGAAUUCCUGGUGUAGCGGUGAAAUGCGUAGAGAUCAGGAGGAAUACCGGUGGCGAAAGCGACUCUCUGGACGGCAACUGACGCUGAGGCACGAAAGCGUGGGGAGCAAACAG